CUGGGGCACCAUGAUGGAGUCACACCAGGUCUUUGUAUUACUGCUCCUCGGUAUGUCUGGUGCUGAGGGGAACAUUGUGAUGACCCAGUCUCCAGAAUUCAUGUCCACAUCUGUAGGAGACAGGAUCACUCUAGGCUGCAAGGCCAGUCAGAGUGUGAGUAAUGAAGUACAUUGGUACCUACAGAAAUCAGGGCAGCCUCCUAAACUGCUAAUUUCCUAUGCAUCCAAUCGAGCCUCUGGGGUCCCUGAUCGCUUUACAGGCGUUAUAUCUGGGACAGAUUACACUCUCAACAUCAGCAGUGUGCAGGCUGAAGACCUGGCAGUUUAUUACUGUCUACAGAGUUACAGCUAUCCACCCACAGUGCUUCAUCCUCCAACACAAACCUCCUUGAAUGUCUCAUCAGCUGCCUGCACCACACACAGCCCUGGGCCUGCACACUUCCUCUUUCUGCCUGGGAUUUGUUAUGCAUGACUGAUUAAUAAUUAAGAUACAGCCUCCUCCGUUCUUCCAUAGAUUUGUCAACACUGGUGUUUAUAGAUUAAAAGGAGAAGCUAAGUUAAGAGAUUUACAAGUUUUGUUGUUGCACUGAGAACAUAUACUACAUGCUAGAAGCAUCAGAGAAGUGUACAGGGUCGUGGUGGCUUUCAAUAUCUUUUUGUUAUGCUUUCAGGCUAUGAUAAAUUUGUAUAAAAAUAGAAUAGAAUUU